rnacentral:rRNA from 1 species
GACGAACGCUGGCGGCGUGCUUAACACAUGCAAGUCGAACGGAAAGGCCCCCACUUUUUUGGUGGGGGUGCUCGAGUGGCGAACGGGUGAGUAACACGUGGGUGAUCUGCCCUGUACUUCGGGAUAAGCUUGGGAAACUGGGUCUAAUACCGGAUAGGACCAUGGUUUAGUGUCUCAUGGUGGAAAAAUUAUUGUUUUGGUGCAGGAUGAGCUCGCGGCCUAUCAGCUUGUUGGUGGGGUAAUGGCCUACCAAGGCGUCGACGGGUAGCCGGCCUGAGAGGGUGGACGGCCACAUUGGGACUGAGAUACGGCCGAGACUCCUACGGGAGGCAGCAGUGGGGAAUAUUGCACAAUGGGCGCAAGCCUGAUGCAGCGACGCCGCGUGGGGGAUGACGGCCUUCGGGUGGUAAACUCCUUUCGUUAGGGACGAAGCCGCACCUUUUUUGGGUGUGGUGACGGUACCUUUGUUAAGAAGCACCGGCUAACUACGUG